rnacentral:rRNA from 1 species
AUUGAACGCUGGCGGCAGGCCUAACACAUGCGAGUCGAGCGGGGUUUUCGGACCUAGCGGCGGACGGGGGAGUAAUGCGUAGGAAGCUACCCGAUAGAGGGGGAUACCAGUUGGAAACGACUGUUAAUACCGCAUAAUGUCUACGGACCAAAGUGUGGGACCUUCGGGCCACAUGCUAUCGGAUGCGCCUACGUGGGAUUAGCUAGUUGGUGAGGUAAUGGACCACCGAGGCGACGAUCCCUAGCUGGUUUGAGAGGAUGAUCAGCCACACUGGAACUGAGACACGGUCCAGACUCCUACGGGAGGCAGCAGUGGGGAAUAUUGGACAAUGGGCGCAAGCCUGAUCCAGCCAUGCCGCGUGUGUGAAGAAGGCCUUCGGGUUGUAAAGCACUUUCAGUAGGGAGGAAGCGUUGUGUGUUAAUAGUACACAGCGUUGACGUUACCUACAGAAGAAGCACCGGCUAACUCUGUGCCAGCCGCCGCAGUAACAC